rnacentral:lncRNA from 1 species
CACAGGACAGCUGCAGCACCCUCUUCCUAUAGCCUAGGGAUAUCAAUGUCAGAUCAGAAGACUGGAGGCUUGGCUUAGUAGGGGUGACGCUUCAAGGAGUUAUUGUUGGCCUCCCAUGAGAGGGCUCCCGAGUGGCGCAGCGGUAUAAGGCACUGUAUCUCAGUACAAGAAGCGUCACUAAAGUCCCUUGUUCGAAACCAGCCUGUAUCACAUCCGGCCAUCAUUGUGAGUCCCAUAGGGUGGCGCACAAUUGGCCCAGCGUCGUCCUGGUUGAGAACAGCAUCCUAAAGGAAUGGCCAUGGACAGCCUGGGUGGACUGAGAAGACAGACAUCCAUGUCCUGCCAAUGUCUCUUCUCCGGGUCAAACUUCUAGCCAAGCGCAAGCCUUCGAUUUCAUUAAGCUCCCCUGUUCAAUUCUCUGUUACCAUGGUGAUUGUACCAAACAAAUAGUCCCACCUCGUCUCAGCACCACUUUGGUCAGCCUUGUGUUCCAGUGUUUGUGAAUGGCUGGCUAAACGGCUCAUUAAUCCCCCAGUGGCUGUGACCGCUGUCAGUCGCCUGGG